CAUGCUUCCAAGAAAAGCUUCUAAGCUUCAGAUAUAAAGGAACCGUACUGUAAACCGACACAGGUGAUCAGGUAGAGAAUACCAAGGCGCUUGAGAGAACUCGGGUGAAGGAACUAGGCAAAAUGGUACCGUAACUUCGGGAGAAGGUACGCCGGUUUGGGUGAUGGGACUUGCUCCUUGAGCCUGGGCUGGCCGAAGUGACCAGGUGGCUGCGACUGUUUAUUAAAAACAUAGCACUGUGCAAACACGUAAGUAGACGUAUACGGUGUGACGCCUGCCCGGUGCCGGAAGGUUAAUUGAUGGGGUUAUCUUCGGAGAAGCUCUUGAUCGAAGCCCCGAUAAACGGCGGCCGUAACUAUAACGGUCCUAAGGUAGCGAAAUUCCUUGUCGGGUAAGUUCCGACCUGCACGAAUGGCGUAACGAUGGCCACACUGUCUCCACCCGAGACUCAGUGAAAUUGAAAUCGCUGUUAAGAUGCAGUGUACCCGCGGCUAGACGGAAAGACCCCGUGAACCUUUACUAUAGCUUCACACUGGACUCUGACCUUACUUGUGUAGGAUAGCUGGGAGGCUUUGAAGCGGUGGCGCCAGCCAUCGUGGAGCCAACCUUGAAAUACCAGCCUGGUAAUGUUGGGGUUCUAGCUCAGGUCCGUAAUCCGGAUCGAGGACAGUGUGUGGUGGGUAGUUUGACUGGGGCGGUCUCCUCCCAAAGAGUAACGGAGGAGCACGAAGGUGCGCUAAUCACGGUCGGAAAUCGUGAGGUUAGUGUAAAGGCACAAGCGCGCUUGACUGCGAGUCUGACAAGACGAGCAGGUACGAAAGUAGGUCUUAGUGAUCCGGUGGUUCUGUAUGGAAGGGCCAUCGCUCAACGGAUAAAAGGUACUCCGGGGAUAACAGGCUGAUACCGCCCAAGAGUUCACAUCGACGGCGGUGUUUGGCACCUCGAUGUCGGCUCAUCACAUCCUGGGGCUGAAGCCGGUCCCAAGGGUAUGGCUGUUCGCCAUUUAAAGUGGUACGCGAGCUGGGUUUAGAACGUCGUGAGACAGUUCGGUCCCUAUCUGCCGUGGGCGUUGGAGAAUUGAGGGAAGCUGCUCCUAGUACGAGAGGACCGGAGUGGACGAACCGCUGGUGUUCGGGUUGUGUCGCCAGACGCAUUGCCCGGUAGCUACGUUCGGACAGGAUAAGCGCUGAAAGCAUCUAAGCGCGAAGCCCCUCCCAAGAUAAGUUCUCCCUGACCCCUUGAGGGUCCUGAAGGGCCGUCGAAGACUACGACGUUGAUAGGCUGGGUGUGUAAGCGUUGUAAGGCGUUGAGCUAACCAGUACUAAUUGCCCGUGAGGCUUGACC
rnacentral:rRNA from 1 species